UCAUCUUAAUAUUAAGCUUAUGUUAAUCUUAAUUAUAUUUUGUGUUCUUAGAUUGAGUACAAUCUUAUUUUAGUUUUACAUUUGGUAUCAGAGCCUUUUGUAAAUUAAGAAUCAAAAUGUUUUGGACCGAUUGAUCUUAAAAAAGAGGGGGAAGAGCAUGUGUUUUAAAUAAUAAAAAAAUAGUGCUGCAGAUUAUUUGAAAACAAAAUUGUAGAGGGUCGACCCUGGGUCAAACCAGGUUUUUAAUCAAAACCCAAAAACCUUUGGUGUUAAAAAAAAAAAGUUCUUUCUUUCCGGGCGUUGUUCUCUCUCUGGCGCGCGAAGUACAAAAGAGAAGAGAAACCUGUUUUGUCAAAAUCGUUUUAUGGGUUUUGUUUUAGAUAGUUUUGCAACUCGAUUGAGGUAUGCUUUCAUGUUGUUGCUAUUUCCAAGUUGCAGGAUAAUUUUGCUUCCAGGAUAUAGGAUAUCUAUUUGGUUCCUUUCAGCAUGUUUGGAUGGGAUCUUGGCCAAGCUGGAAUAGUAUGGAGGAGAAGCUAGAAACAGCUUAGAAAAGGAAGAGGAAAAUGUAACUAGUUCUAGAUAGGCACCUUGCAUCCGUCGACAGUGAAGAAUUGUUGAGAGGGAGGGGCCUCCACAUGCCUAUACAAGGAGGGCCUCACGGCAUUAGAAGGGAUUCCUGCCACUUGGAGCAAGUUAUGAACUCAACAGAGGCAUGUAACUUGUAUCUAUGUUUCAUGCAUAGUGAAAACCCUAAAACACCCUGAAGUGGACGUAGCCUGAUAACCAUUGUACUGGGUGACAAAAGCAGCUGGCACCCAGUAUUAGAUUGUGAUUAGAAUCACAAUCAAAAUGGUUACAGUACGUCUCAGCUGUAACCAUUUUGAUUGUGAUUUUAGUUACAGUACGUCUUGAUAUUUCGACCGGACAAGAUUUGACCGGCUGGUGAAUUCGAGUUUGUACCGACUGGCCAGAACAUCCAUAGCUUUUCUCAGCUGAUCUGGGAGAAGAGAGCACACGUACAGUAAGAGAUUUUAUUAACCAUGGAAGAAAGGAUGCAUUGCAUUGACGAAGCGAAUUAAGGACAACCAAGAGUCUGCAACUCUGCAUAUAUGCCAAACUUGCCAAACUCACAUGGGAUUCAUCUAGCACGGGACCCAGGGAUGGUGUACUUGUUGACCCUAACUAGAUAGAGCCUUAUCACUGGUUUAGUUGCGUGUGCAUACGCUUUAGACUUGAUUAUCUCUUUGGCAUUAAAGCUUAAGAUGGAGACAUUUUAUGCAAAAAAAAUGAACAAACACAAGAAAGCUGGGAGAACGCGAAACGUAGUGGGGAUGUAAGGAGAAAGCCCAAGUUUAGGGUCAGGGAUUCAAUAAUAUUGGCAGAAUGGCAUCUAUUUAAAUCUCAGCCCUAGCCCUAGCUCCUUUUUCUUUCUUUGCUUUCUGUAAUGGUGACAUGUGAAAGUUUUGCAAUUAAUAAUGAGUGGCUUCGAGAAAUUAUAUGAGCGAUACUUAUAACCUCUAUGGUCACAUACAUGAUACAUGUAUGAGGGCUGGCUCCUCCUUCAAGGA